GAAAUACAUUGCUGCACAACUCCUACCAACAACACUAGAAUCAUUCAAAUCCUCUCAAUUUUCAUCUCAUAUUUCUGAAUUCUGACGAGUUUUAACGUGUUGGUGAUAUAGCUGAUAUAAAGCUUCGAUCGGGACUUGUAAUAUCUUUUUUCUCAAAUUGUUGCUGGAGGUUUGG